UACAGAGGAGCCAAGCGUUGUCCGGAUUGACUGGGCGUAAAGCGCACGCAGGCGGAUGCGCGCGUGGGGUGUGAAAUCUGGCCGCUUAACGGCCAGGCGCCAUCCCAUACGGCGCGUCUGGAGUGAUGCAGAGGUCGGUGGAAUUGCCGGUGUAGUGGUGAAAUGCGUAGAGAUCGGCAGGAACACCCAGGGGGAAACCAGCCGACUGGGCAUCUACUGACGCUGAGGUGCGAGAGCGCGGGGAGCGAACCGG
rnacentral:rRNA from 1 species